rnacentral:ribozyme from 1 species
AAAAAAGCAAAUGAAAAAAAGGAAAUCAGUUCAGUGGGUUUUUUUUCUUUCGCUUUCAUCAUUAUUUGCUCUCGUUUCGAUUCAGUGCAACGUCACUUUUCUUAGGAAGGAGGGGAGGGGA